CUCCCAAUUUCGAAGCAUCGUUCGACGUUUUCUCGCUCGAUUUCUCACGUUUCGAGGUCGAUUUCUGCAGUUCUUCAAGCCUUAUACUCAAGAUUCUAGAUCAGACCCGAUGGAGACGGAGGAAGCCGUCCUGAGGCUGCCUCCCCUUCUCUCUUCCCACUCCUCAGUGAUUUUCUUGAUAUCGGAUGAAGAUUUUCUUUCCAUGAAAUCCAAACAAAAAAGAAAUCUACAACAAAUGAAUUCAUUUCCAUUCUCUGUUGUUCCAACUUCCAAUGUUCUUAUUGUAUUGUGUUGUUUCUUCUUAUUUUUAAUCCCGAAAAUUUGAAUUUGAA